AGGACGAACGCUGGCGGCGUGCUUAACACAUGCAAGUCGAGCGAGGCCCUUCCUUCGGGAAGGUGCCCUAGCGGCGAACGGGUGAGUAACACGUGGGCAACCUGCCUCUAGCACUGGGAUAACUCCGGGAAACCGGGGCUAAUACCGGAUAUGACCUCCGAGGGCAUCCUCGGUGGUGUAAAGGAUUCUGGCUAGAGAUGGGCCCGCGGCCUAUCAGCUUGUUGGUGGGGUAAAGGCCUACCAAGGCGACGACGGGUA
rnacentral:rRNA from 1 species